UUCCCUGUGACACAUCAGCAGGAUGACUGGGCUUUCAUCCUCCUGGGUGGGACAUGCCUCCCUCAAGCCUUGCUGCUGGGCACAUUAUCUGUCCAACA
rfam:Pan troglodytes isolate Yerkes chimp pedigree #C0471 (Clint) chromosome 21, whole genome shotgun sequence.